rnacentral:rRNA from 1 species
ACUCCUACGGGAGGCAGCAGUGGGGAAUAUUGCACAAUGGGCGCAAGCCUGAUGCAGCCAUGCCGCGUGUAUGAAGAAGGCCUUCGGGUUGUAAAGUACUUUCAGCAGUGAGGAAGGUGGGUAUGUUAAUAGCAUAUCAUUUGCAUCGCUNUGAGCUGCAGAAAGAAGCACCGGCUAACUCCGUGCCAGCAGCCGCGGUAAUACGGAGGGUGCGAGCGUUAAUCGGAAUUACUGGGCGUAAAGCGCAUGCAGGUGGUUUGUUAAGUCAGAUGUGAAAGCCCGGGGCUCAACCUCGGAAUUGCAUUUGAAACUGGCAAACUAGAGUACUGUAGAGGGGGGUAGAAUUUCAGGUGUAGCGGUGAAAUGCGUAGAGAUCUGAAGGAAUACCGGUGGCGAAGGCGGCCCCCUGGACAGAUACUGACACUCAGAUGCGAAAGCGUGGGGAGCAAACAGGAUUAGAUACCCUGGUAGCUACGAGU